rnacentral:lncRNA from 1 species
GCUCCUGCUGGAGAAUGACGCCAGCCCCAACCUGGCUACCACUGCUGGCCACACACCUCUGCACACCGCAGCCCGUGAGGGUCACGUGGACACAGCCCUGGCCCUGCUGGAAAAGGAGGCAUCCCAAGCCUGCAUGACCAAGGAUUUACCCCUCUCCACGUGGCUGCCAAGUAUGGGAAGGUCCGGCUGGCAGAGCUGCUGCUGGAACAUGAUGCCCAUCCCAACGCGGCCGGAAAGAACGGCUUGACUCCCCUGCAUGUGGCCGUCCAUCACAACAACUUGGACAUUGUCCAGCUUCUCCUUCCCCGAGGUGGCUCCCCGCACAGCCCUGCCUGGGUAAGAAGAUCCCUACCUGCUUCUGUCUAGAGAGAUGGUUUUCAAGCCUCCUAAUGCUGAGACCCUUUAAUGCACGUCGUGUGUU